AUGGAAAACAAGAAGCGCCGGCUGACGAGAGGCGAUGAAGAGCAACGCCCUUACAAAAGGGUAGCUAGGCCAAGCGCCUUGAGUCAACUCAGUGAGCAAGCAGUUUCAAGAUUGAGUAGGAGUGUCGUGUCGCUUGCUUCAUUUGAUGGUGAUACCAAGUUACGCGAAUGCACAGGCAUAUGCAUUGAAACCUCAGCUCCUGAUUCUGAAGCUACAAUCCUAACAUCCAGACAGUUGAUUCCACCAACUUGGCCUGCAAGUUUGACGAUUAAAGUACGCCUUUCGAAUAAUCGGAUUGUCACUGGGCGGAUAGAGGAUCCCGGGAUAUAUGUUGAUUUUUUCAUUGUCAACAUCAGGAAUGUGUCUGGAGUUGAUGUCGCAAGUCUUGAUGGUGACAUGCAGUUUGAGCCUCAUACGAAGGUAGUAGCUGUAUGGCGCUGUUUCAAUUCAGGACUUCUAAAGUCCACAAGGGGACUAAAUCUUGCCUCUCCAAGCCUUCUAACCGGUGAGACAAUCGUAAGCACGUGCCGGAUCCGCAAGGCAGGGAUUGGAGGCCCCCUUGUUGAUUUUGAUGGCAACUUUGUUGGGAUGAACUCCUCUCGUACCAAAAUGGAAAAGACUGCCUACGUGCGAAGGGAGCGAAUUCUUCGAUUCUUGUUGCAUAAGGGGAUGGUCAGUGUUAAGGAAGGGGUUGAUGAUGCUACAAGGGCAAAAAUGAACAGUGAGAUGAAAGCAAUUUGGCCAAGUUUGAGCGCUAAGUCCGCAGCGAGAUUGAGUGAAUCCAGAAAAGGCGCCUUGAGUAAGCAAGUACUUUCGAGAUUAAGCAUGAGUGUUGUGGCGCUGGCCUCAUUCGACGGUGAUACCAUGUUACGCGAAUGCACAGGUAUAUGUGUUGAAAGCGCAUGUCCUGAUGCUACGUGUUUCCUGACAUCGAUAAAUUUGAUUCCUUAUACUUGGCCUAGAGAUAAGAUCGCUGAAAGUUUGACGAUAAAAGUACGCCUCCCCGAUCAUCAGGCUGUCACGGGGUGGAUAGAGAAUCCUCGGUUAUAUGUUGAUUAUUUCAUCGUCAAAAUCAAGAACGUUGAUGUUACUGGUGCCGCCCAUCUAAGUCAUCUAAGUCUUGAUCGCGCCAUGCCGUUUGAGCCUUAUAGGAAGGUAGCAGCUGUAUGGCGCUAUUUUGAUUCGGGGGAAUUAAAGACCACAGGCGGAGUAGAUCUUGCCUCUUUAAGCGUUCAUAUCGACGAGAAAAUGUUAAGCACAUGGCGAAUCCACGAGGUCGGGAUUGGAGGUCCCCUUGUUGACUUUGAUGGCAACUUUGUUGGGAUGAACUGCUCUGGCACCAAACAAAGAAAGACCCCCUACGUACAAAGGCCUUCAAUUCGUGAAUUCAUGUUCUUUCGCGGGAUGGUCAGGUGUAUCAUUCUGAAAGUCAAAGAGCAGCUUCUGAGAGUUUUCUACAUUGUGGGGCAGUGUUAA
rnacentral:rRNA from 1 species